rnacentral:rRNA from 1 species
UUAUAAGAGACAGCAGCAGCCACGGUAAUACGGAGGGUGCAAGCGUUAAUCGGAAUUACUGGGCGUAAAGCGCACGCAGGCGGUCUGUCAAGUCAGAUGUGAAAUCCCCGGGCUUAACCUGGGAACUGCAUUUGAAACUGGCAGGCUAGAGUCUUGUAGAGGGGGGUAGAAUUCCAGGUGUAGCGGUGAAAUGCGUAGAGAUCUGGAGGAAUACCGGUGGCGAAGGCGGCCCCCUGGACAAAGACUGACGCUCAGGUGCGAAAGCGUGGGGAGCAAACAGGAUUAGAUACCCGCGUAGUCCCUGUCUCUUAUAA